GCCUUCGUGGUGUAUUGAUCAGCACGUUCGACUCUUAACCAGGAGGUUCGUGGUUUGAUUCCCGGCGAGGACA
rnacentral:tRNA from 1 species